rnacentral:tRNA from 1 species
GGGCAUGUAGCUCAGCUGGUUAGAGCGCGUCUCUGAUAAGGACGAGGUCGAAGGUUCAAGUCCUUCUAUGCCCACCA